AUAGGCGAAGCGUGCGAUUGGAUUGCACGUCUAAGCAGUAAGGCUGAGUAUUAGGCAAAUCCGGUACUCGUUAAGGCUGAGCUGUGAUGGGGAGAAGACAUUGUGUCUUCGAGUCGUUGAUUUCACACUGCCGAGAAAAGCCUCUAGAUAGAAAAUAGGUGCCCGUACCGCAAACCGACACAGGUAGUCAAGAUGAGAAUUCUAAGGUGAGCGAGCGAACUCUCGUUAAGGAACUCGGCAAAAUGACCCCGUAACUUCGGGAGAAGGGGUGCUCUUUAGGGUUAACGCCCAGAAGAGCCGCAGUGAAUAGGCCCAAGCGACUGUUUAUCAAAAACACAGGUCUCUGCUAAACCGUAAGGUGAUGUAUAGGGGCUGACGCCUGCCCGGUGCUGGAAGGUUAAGAGGAGUGGUUAGCUUCUGCGAAGCUACGAAUCGAAGCCCCAGUAAACGGCGGCCGUAACUAUAACGGUCCUAAGGUAGCGAAAUUCCUUGUCGGGUAAGUUCCGACCCGCACGAAAGGCGUAACGAUUUGGGCACUGUCUCAACGAGAGACUCGGUGAAAUCAUAGUACCUGUGAAGAUGCAGGUUACCCGCGACAGGACGGAAAGACCCCGUGGAGCUUUACUGUAGCCUGAUAUUGAAAUUCGGCACAGCUUGUACAGGAUAGGUAGGAGCCUUUGAAACGUGAGCGCUAGCUUACGUGGAGGCGCUGGUGGGAUACUACCCUAGCUGUGUUGGCUUUCUAACCCGCACCACUUAUCGUGGUGGGAGACAGUGUCAGGCGGGCAGUUUGACUGGGGCGGUCGCCUCCUAAAAGGUAACGGAGGCGCUCAAAGGUUCCCUCAGAAUGGUUGGAAAUCAUUCAUAGAGUGUAAAGGCAUAAGGGAGCUUGACUGCGAGACCUACAAGUCGAGCAGGGUCGAAAGACGGACUUAGUGAUCCGGUGGUUCCGCAUGGAAGGGCCAUCGCUCAACGGAUAAAAGCUACCCCGGGGAUAACAGGCUUAUCUCCCCCAAGAGUUCACAUCGACGGGGAGGUUUGGCACCUCGAUGUCGGC
rnacentral:rRNA from 1 species